rnacentral:rRNA from 1 species
AACGAACGCUGGCGGCAUGCCUAACACAUGCAAGUCGAACGAGACCUUCGGGUAUAGUGGCGCACGGGUGCGUAACGCGUGGGAACCUGCCCUUAGGUUCGGAAUAACUCCCCGAAAGGGGUGCUAAUACCGGAUAAUGUCUUCGGACCAAAGAUUUAUCGCCUUUGGAUGGGCCCGCGUUGGAUUAGCUAGUUGGUAGGGUAAAAGCCUACCAAGGCGACGAUCCAUAGCUGGUCUGAGAGGAUGUUCAGCCACACUGGGACUGAGACACGGCCCAGACUCCUACGGGAGGCAGCAGUGGGGAAUAUUGGACAAUGGGCGAAAGCCUGAUCCAGCAAUGCCGCGUGAGUGAUGAAGGCCUUAGGGUUGUAAAGCUCUUUUACCCGGGAUGAUAAUGACAGUACCGGGAGAAUAAGCUCCGGCUAACUCCGUG